UACGUAGGGUGCGAGCGUUAAUCGGAAUUACUGGGCGUAAAGCGUGCGCAGGCGGUUUUGAAAGACAGGCGUGAAAUCCCCGGGCUCAACCUGGGAACUGCGCUUGUGACUUCAAGACUAGAGUACGGCAGAGGGGGGUAGAAUUCCACGUGUAGCAGUGAAAUGCGUAGAGAUGUGGAGGAAUACCGAUGGCGAAGGCAGCCCCCUGGGCCAGUACUGACGCUCAUGCACGAAAGCGUGGGGAGCAAACAGGAUUAGAUACCCUGGUAGUCCACGCCCUAAACGAUGUCAACUAGGUGUUGGGUGGGUAAAACCAUUUAGUACCGGAGCUAACGCGUGAAGUUGACCGCCUGGGGAGUACGGCCGCAAGGUUAAA
rnacentral:rRNA from 1 species